AGUGAACGCUGGCGGUAGGCCUAACACAUGCAAGUCGAACGGCAGCACAGUAAGAGCUUGCUCUUACGGGUGGCGAGUGGCGGACGGGUGAGGAAUACAUCGGAAUCUACUUUUUCGUGGGGGAUAACGUAGGGAAACUUACGCUAAUACCGCAUACGACCUACGGGUGAAAGCAGGGGAUCUUCGGACCUUGCGCGAUUGAAUGAGCCGAUGUCGGAUUAGCUGGUUGGCGGGGUACAGGCCCACCAAGCGACGAAUCGUAGCUGGGCCGAGAGGAGGAUCAGCCACACUGGAACUGAGACACGGUCAAGACGCCUACGGGAGGCAGCAGUGGGGAAUAUUGGACAAUGGGCGCAAGCCUGAUCCAGCCAUACCGCGUGGGUGAAGAAGGCCUUCGGGUUGUAAAGACCUUUUGUUGGGAAAGAAAAGCAGCAGGUUAAUACCCCGCUGUUCUGACGGUACCCAAAGAAUAAGCACCGGCUAACUUCGUG
rnacentral:rRNA from 1 species